rnacentral:rRNA from 1 species
AUCGACGAGUUUGAUCAUGGCUCAGAACGAACGCUGGCGGCAGGCCUAACACAUGCAAGUCGAGCGCCCCGUAAGGGGAGCGGCGGACGGGUGAGUAACGCGUGGGAACGUGCCCUCUUCUACGGAAUAGCCUCGGGAAACUGGGAGUAAUACCGUAUACGCCCUUAGGGGGAAAGAUUUAUCGGAGGAGGAUCGGCCCGCGUUGGAUUAGGUAGUUGGUGGGGUAAUGGCCUACCAAGCCGACGAUCCAUAGCUGGUUUGAGAGGAUGAUCAGCCACACUGGGACUGAGACACGGCCCAGACUCCUACGGGAGGCAGCAGUGGGGAAUCUUAGACAAUGGGCGCAAGCCUGAUCUAGCCCAUGCCGCGUGAGCGAUGAAGGCCUUAGGGUUGUAAAGCUCUUUCAGGGGGGAAGAUAAUGACUGUACCCCAGAAGAAGCCCCGGCUAACUCCGUG